AUGCUGUAACACAAAGCGAGAAUCGCAUGGAUUUGUUAUGGCUGGCGUCUUUAAAUCUCUGUGGCAGUAAUAACCAUUUAUCCGCCGAGUUGCAUGUUGCCUCCCUCAUCAGCUCAACUUCAUUAUUGGUGGCAUCAAUCUCUCUGAUGCACGUUUUCUAAUGAAUGGCGCAUGGCCCGGUAAUGUAAAUUAGCAGAGCAUCCCUGGCCCAGUGCGCAGACCUUUCACUCUGCUCCAGACAACAGACACCUACAGGGACCACUUCCCCCCCAAGGGCACCCAGCACGUCAGCUCUGAUUAAGCCUCCACCCGGCCUGGAAAGUAGACGUCUUCCACAGCAGGGAAAGCGGUGCAGCGGGAAAGACACAACUUGUGCCCGGUAAUAAAUCGCCGCAGGCAGCCGGGCCCUUCGGAGUCACGGCCCGAACUAACCCCAAACAGAUGCCGGCUGGUCGGGCCUGCCAGUCUGUGCGCCGGCCUGCGUGCCAGCAUCAUGAUGAGGGAUGGCUCUGGUCCAAAGCAGGUGGCUGCCACCCGGGCAGGUGUAGGCAUCGUUAAGGUCCAAUAUGGCGAGCGCGGCGCAUCAAGGGCGGAAGAAAAGUGAUAUUGAUGGAGGCGCGUCUGCAGCGGACUGGUUCAUCGAGCAAAUCUGAAAAUGAAUAUGGCCUUUUGGUUAUCUGCAUCCAUCCUGUCCACCUGGGGCCCUCUGGCAUUGGUGAACAGACCACUGCAGGGGUGAGAGCGUCCGAUAAGAGAAUGCGGGCGAGCAGAUGAGAGGGUGGCGGAAAGAUAUGGAGGUCCAUCGUGGCACCAGAAGUGGACCUUAUUCAUAAGAUUGUUCAGGGAUGGUAUGAGAAAGGACAGGAACUGGAGAUUAAGUUGGCCUCGGAAUAAC